AAAUCCCUUCCGGAGGUUGUUUACUCCAGUGGGCAUUUCAGCUGCCGUAGGAUUUCCAAUCAACGGAGAGAGAAUUGAGGAGAGAUUAGUGGAAAGAUGACAGAUUAGGGAAUAGAUUAUUCUCUCCUCAUUUAAUUUUCCCCAACGCCUCCUGCCGCAGUCCGACCCUUCCCCUUCCCCGACCCCGAUGCGCUCUCUCCCCUCCCUCGUUCAUCCUCUCACUCUCUCUCUCCUUCCUCUCACUCCAGCACGAGGAAGCGGAGGGGCGAGGUGAGUGGCCGGCGACGUCGGCGUGCUCCCUGCUACGCGUGAGGCCGACCAUCUCCUUCUCUAUCUCUCUUCCCACGGUGCGCCGCCGGACCUGCCCAUGGAAGAGGACCCCGGCUUCCCCAAGACCCCAACCUUGUCGGUGUGUUUCCGUCCUUGAUCUGCCAGUUCCAUUCGCGGGGAGGCCUGGGAGUGCAGGUGCAUGAGCUCGUCACCGGAGCCGAAGCAUCCAUGGAGCCGCCCUUCCCCGACGUUGCUCGCUGGCGGGUAACCAAUAAGCAAUGGUGAUGGCGAGCGGAGGACCACGAAUUCGUGAAAAGGUCCAUGGCGGCACCAGGAUCGCCACUGUCCCAUGCUUCCCGCCGGCCGCGGCGGCGGCGGAGGAAGCUCAAGGCUGUCAACGAAAUCUUGUUGCGUUUCUUGAACAUCACUGAGAACUUUUUGGUGAUUUUUUGCAGUGACUUGCAAUUUUUCUUGGUGUGCGCAUGAACAUUCUUGAAUCUUGUUGCUUUUCUUGAACAUCACCAAGAACUUUUUGGUGAUUUGUUGCAGUGUGAUGCAAUUUUUCGGUGUAUGGAUGAACAUGCUUGAUGAUGGAUGGUAUUUCUUUAAACUAGUUCAUA